GCCCCCGUUGUCUAAUGGUUAUGACGUCAGACUUCUACCCUACUAUUGGUAUCUGGAGGUUGCGGGUUCGAGUCCCGCCGGGGGUU